CCUACGGGUGGCAGCAGUGGGGAAUAUUGCACAAUGGGGGAAACCCUGAUGCAGCGACGCCGCGUGAGUGAAGAAGUAUUUCGGUAUGUAAAGCUCUAUCAGCAGGGAAGAAAAUGACGGUACCUGAUUAAGAAGCCCCGGUGAACUACGUGCCAGCAGCCGCGGUAAUACGUAGGGGGCAAGCGUUAUCCGGAUUUACUGGGUGUAAAGGGAGCGUAGACGGCAGCACAAGUCUGGAGUGAAAUGCCGGGGCUAAACCCCGGAACUGCUUUGGAAACUGUGCAGCUAGAGUGCAGGAGAGGAAAGUGGAAUGCGUGGGGUAGGGGUGAAAUGCGUAGAUAUUAGGAGGAACACCAGUGGCGAAGGCGGCUUACUGGACUAUAACUGACGUUGAGGCUCGAAAGCGUGGGGAGCAAACAGGAUGAGAGACCCUAGUAGUC
rnacentral:rRNA from 1 species